GCUCAAGCAUUGCAACCUCGACCUAGGUUAGGACCUCGUUGCUUGGAAAGCACACUUGUCUUGCGGUUAGGACUCGUCGAGUAAAUCUCCAGGUAGAGGCCGAGGUAGGGGCAAAGGCAAGCUGGCGAGCGACCAGAAGUGACCGUGGCGAGCCAUAGGGAUUUCUGCUUCCGCUUACCCCGU